UCAACAUAGGAAACCUAAUUAUUGUGGGAUUAUUACUACUAGAAUUUGAUUUGGUGGAUUAUGAUUAUGAUUAAUAUAUGAUGGUGUGAUUAGGUCAUGAUGAUGAUCUCGCGGUGCACAUGGGAUUCGAAAUCACUUUCUAAAGAGAAAAAGAGAGAAAGAGAAAGAGGGGGCUGAAUUCUAUAAAUAUUGCGUUGCAUGUUUUAGAUUAGAGACGAUGAGAUGGAUGAAUGAGCUGUGUGAUAAGAGAGAGACAGCAGAAGAUGGGAGUCGUGGUCAUUUCUGGAGAAGUAGGGUCAGAGGGGCCUGCUGCUUUUAUUACUUUGUUUGUCCUUUUCACCUUCUUCUCCGUCUAUCUUCCUUCUCAGCCUUUUCAUCUCUUCCUUUUCUUUUAUUCUGAUUUCUCACUCACUCACACACUCUUCAAUCUUCAUCGACUCACACACAAUUUCAAACCCAUCUCUCUCUUUCGACGUUCUUGUCAAUUGGGUUUGUCAAACACUGGAGAAACAACAAGAUGAGAGGAAGCUUUUUCUUUGAGGGGAAUGUUGUCUGGCCCGAGGCCACCAACUGGAUCUGUGAUUUAUCUCAAUCGAUCUUAUAAAAAAGAAAAAAAAUUAAAAAAAGAAACAAUAGAGAUAUUGAUCAUGAUCUUGAGUUUAUGACGUCGGACCAGGCUUCAUUCCCCCCAAUUAUUGCUUCUAUUUACACAUGUUAAUUCUUAUUUUGGAGUCGAUCUGAAGAGAGAUCAAGGUCAUCGGACAUGAGCAGAUUGGUGUAAUGAUGAAAGGUUUUGACUGCUUUUGAACUCUUUUUCUGACUGAAAUGGAAAAGAUCAUCAUUACACUUAUAUAAUGGAUCAGGGUUUGUGUUCAUUGUCAGUAUAACUCUUUUUGGUUUCAUCAUUGAAUUGAUUUCUUUCAUGAUGGCUUCAAGAAUCUUCUCUGUCUGUUUCUGCUCUUUCUUGAUCUUACUCGGCUACUGCCUUCUUGGCUUCUUUUUUAACGCUCUCACUACCACCACCCACCAUUUCCUCCACCAUCCACUCAGCAUACUUUUUGAACUCUUUAACCUUUUGUGAUGGCUUUUUCUUAGGGUUUCAAGGUUUAUAUGUGGUGGAUGGUCUCACAUGCUCAGAUAAGGCGUACCGAAAUCUCAUAUGUUAACAUUGAUAUAACUUGUAACCUAUACAUUAUACUUCUUUAAGCUUCGUCACGAAGUAUCUGAAAAACCAUUGUGGUAUACUUGGUUUUGUCCUGUUGUUUAUAUAUGUAUAUUGUUUUUAAGUGGUGGUGGGUUGAAUGUGGGAGCUGCGUAAUCUCCGCCCUGUUUUGUUUAGUUUCUGCUGCUUUAUCACUGAUCAGCUUGGUACUUUUCCAAAGAUGCUUGGAUCUAUUAUAAUGGUCAACCGAUAACCCUUACAAUGCUCAAGAGAUGAGCUUCAUAUUCUCUCACUGCGAAUAUAUAUAUAUUAUAUUAUAUUAUAUUAUAUUAUAUUUUUGUUGGUAUUUGUAAAUUGUAGGUAAUAAUAUCUUUGUGCAUCAGGUUCUUUUAUUCUCAGAAGAUUUUUUCUUUAUCCAAGAUUUGAUCCUUUCAAUGGUGCUAGCUUUUGCGAACCGUAUGAGUCACACUUUCUAUUGCUUAAAGAAAGGUGAAAGAAUAAUAUUUCAGAACACAGAUGUAAACUUACUGAUCUGUAUUUGAGAAGCAGCUUCCAACUUUAUGAUGUUUUAAUCAACCCUAGCUUGCGGCUCUCAGAAAUGUUAGAUGAACCACUGAUUCGUUUAGUCUUUUAGUCUUGUCUAUACAUAAACAGAUCAAGUUUAGAAAGAUGUAAAAUAAUUUCUCUUUCACAAUCAUCCCUUUCCUGGUUUCACUGUACCAAAUCCGCAUCAGAUUAGGACUUUAAUAUUUCUUUCACAAUUUUGCUUGAGUGUCUCACAUUUAUCGUUUAAAAAAGCCUUUGCAAGCAUUGGGUUGCUAUCUUGUGUUUUAGUUUGCUUGUGUUGCUAGUGGAGCUGUUCAGGGCACAGGAAGUGUACAGAAAACUAUGUUGAAAGGUGAAUCAGCAGGUGAUUGAAAGGGAGAAGCGUCAUCAAGAGGGCAAGCAUAGUUGAUUAAUGGUGCGUGGUUAGUGUUGUGCGCCUCACAUUCUGCCAUCAUUUUCUGAACCUGAGUCAUAUGGAAACACUGAAUGCCUUUACUGGUCUGACUUUCUCUUUCUCUUUUAUUACUGCACAGAGUUGAGUCAGCAUCUGAAUUGACUCCAUGGAUUCCUCUUUAUCCACACUCUGUGAUUAAUAUUGACUACCACCUUGUAUCUCUUGAACAGAACUGUGUGCAAUUAAACGCAUUGUUUUUAUCUUUUUAAA